GCUGGCAUAGCUCACUGUUAGAGAAUUUGCCUAGCAUGUGUGAGGCUCUAGGUUCAAUCCCUAGUACUAGUA
rnacentral:tRNA from 1 species